GCGCGCGAGAAGGGGGUUGGAGAUGAUGAGUCAGAGGCGCCGGCCCUCCUCGCCCCCUCCCCCCCGGGCCGGGAGCUGGAGAGGACAGGCUGGCUGGGCAGGCGGGGGUACCGACCUAAGACUUUCCCGCCUCUAGCGAGCACGCUGGUGGACCGAGCCCGCGUGGCCGCCACCCUUUCCAAGGCGGGAGCAGGACUGCGCAGGCUCAGCCUUUCGGCCGCCCCCGGCGGGCCUUUGAUCCCUGCAGCGGGUCUCACAUGUAUCUUUGCCUGCCUGGAACUUGCCAUGUAGACCUUGAUCCACAUGCCUGUAAGUGCUGGAGUUAAAGGCACGUGCCACUCACCAUGCUUGACUGAGCCUUACUGUAUGAAGACCCUACUGUGUCACCAUAAGUUUGCCUCCCCCACUACAUCGUGAACUAAGUGUGAAGAAUUGUUUAUGAAUUCUGCAGUGCUGCUCGCCAAAUGGAUACAUGUUAACUUCCAUCACAAUUGGUUGGCCAAAUUAAGUCGUAAAGCCUCACUCAGUUUCCUGGGGAAGAUACUAUAGAAUAUGAGGGGGAGCAAACAAUUUAAGGAAAAGGUUGGAAAUUUGUGGUGAAGCUUGAAUGGCUCCGCAGUUGGGAUUUGUCUACUAGCAACCAUGCCUAUUUCUCCUUGUUUAGUUCAGUGAGCUUCCGUGUGAAAUUCUUAGUGGGAGAAAAACAAGACCAGGCGUCAGGAGACCUAGAUUCUGGCUCUGUUGCUUGAGCGCAUAAGAUCUGUCUGAACUACACUUCAUUUGCAUGGCCAUUACACCAUGCUUCUUCUGCUUAUCUUACUGAAUCAUAUGGCGAAAAUAGAGUCAUGCACAAGACCUCUAAAAUGAUGAGGCCCUUGAGAGGUGGAAAAUAAAUUGUCUAAGAAGGC
rnacentral:lncRNA from 1 species